GACGAACGCUGGCGGCGUGCCUAACACAUGCAAGUCGAACGGCGAAGCACUAGCUUGCUGGAGUGGCUCAGUGGCGAACGGGUGAGUAACACGUGAGCAACCUGCUCUUGACUCUGGAAUAAGCGCUGGAAACGGCGCCUAAUAUUGGACACGAGACGGGCUCGCAUGGGCACCUUCUGGUCAGUGUUUCGGUCGGGGAUGGGCUCGCGGCCUAUCAGCUUGUUGGUGAGGUAUUGGCUGACCAAGGCAGCGACGGGUAGCCGGCCUGAGAGGGCGACCGGCCACACUGGGCCUGCGACACGGCCCAGACUCCUACGGGAGGCAGCAGUGGGGAGUAUUGCACAAUGGGCGAGAGCCUGAUGCAGCGACGCCGCGUGUGGGAUGACGGCCUUCGGGUUGUGAACCUCUUUCAGCAGGGAAGAAGCGAAAGUGACGGUACCUGCAGAAGAAGCACCGGCUAACUACGUG
rnacentral:rRNA from 1 species